UCACUUCCAUUGUUCUAUAUCAACUUGUUGGUGCCAAAAGAAAGCCAGAAAACUUGGACCAGCAUAGAACUGGAGUGAAUAUUAUUCUGCUUGAUAUUAUAUUUCUUUUUCUUGUCCCUCAUUUAUUAGUCAGAAACUUGAAUGCUGAUUCAGAAAAAAGUGUGCCUGCUAACUCCAGUAUAGGAUAUUGUCUAGUGUAAAUGUUUCCAUCAUGACUGAAACUUUUGAAACUAGAAAAUCCAAAAAAAUUGAGCUACAAUCUUUUUUCAGCCUUUUCACCAUGCGAGUGUCCUGCAUUAAAAAGCCUAAAACUUUUAGAGUCACAAAUUUAUCUUUUCACGCGAUGAUCGCCUGACAAGCCUAUCUGAUUUUAGAUUGACUUCCUGCCUCCUAUUAUCUUCUGGUGAUGUAAAUUUGAAAUGGUAACUAAACGAGCCCUUACUAUUGUUUAAAAUUUUCAAACUGAUUUUAAUUGGAAGUCUAAUCUAAAUAGAACAUUUUUGUGGUUUUUU
rnacentral:lncRNA from 1 species